CCCUAUGAUGUCAUGUAAUCUUUGAGACCUGAACUUUCGAUGUUGAAAAUUAGCAUUUGCUGAGGGC